GGGGAAUUUUCUGCAAUGGGCGAAAGCCUGACGGAGCAAUACCGCGUGAGGGAAGAAGGUCUGUGGAUUGUAAACCUCUUUUUUCAGGGACGAUAAUGACGGUACCUGACGAAUAAGCCUCGGCUAACUGCGUGCCAGCACGCCGCGGUAAGACGGAGGAGGCAAGCGUUAUCUUGGAAUUAUUGGGCGUAAAGCGUACGCAGGUGGUUUGACAAGUCUUNUGUCAAAGACCAGGGCUCAACCCCGGGAAGGCANAGGAAACUGUUAAUGCUAGAGUGCGAUAGGGGCAGGAGGAAUUCCCGGUGUAGCGGUGAAAUGCGUAGAUAUCUGGAAGAACACCCGCGGCGAAAGCGUCCUGCUAUGGUCGCAACUGACACUCAUGUACGAAAGCUAGGGGAGCGAACGGGAUUAGAUACCCCCGUAGUCCUAGCCCUAAAACGAUGGAUAACUAGGUGUAGGGAGUAUCGACCCUCUCGGUGCCGUAG
rnacentral:rRNA from 1 species